UCACAACUCUGCCAUCUCCUCGUUUGGAGUUUAUCCCUGUUUCCUGAAGAAUCUGCAACACAGAGAUUUGGGAUUGGGGUGAGAAUUGAGGGCUGCCACCAAGGAGAGAGAGCUCCUGUUCCCCCUGGGCAGAAAACCCAGAGAUUUGGGAUUAUUUGGGGUGAGAAUUGAGACUGCCACCAAGGAAAGAGCUCCUGUUCCCCCUGGGCAGAAACCCCAGAAAUUUGGGAUUAUGGGGUGAGAAUUAAGGCUGCCACCAAGGAGAGAGAGCUCCUGUUCCCCCUGGGCAGGCACCUCAGAAAUUUGGGAUUGAGGUGAGAAUUGAGGCUGCACUGCCAACAAGGAGAGCUCCUGUUCCCUCUGGGCAGAAAACCCAAAAAUUUGGGAUUAUUUGGGGUGAGAAUUGAGGCUGCCCUGCCACCAAGGAAAGAGCUCCUGUUCCCUCUGGGCAGAAAACCCAGAAAUUUGGGAUUAUGGGGUGAGAAUUAAGGCUGCCACCAAGGAGAGAGAGCUCCUGUUCCCCCUGGGCAGGCACCCCAGAAAUUUGGGAUUUGGGUGAGAAUUGAGGCUGCCCUGCCAACAAGGAGAGCUCCUGUUCCCUCUGGGCAGAAAACCCAAAAAUUUGGGAUUAUUUGGGGUGAGAAUCGAGGCUGCCCUGCCACCAGGGAGAGCGAGCUCUUCUUCCCCCUGGGCAGGCACCCCAGGGAUUUGGGAUUAUGGGGUGAAAAUCGAGGCUGCCACCAAGGAGAGAGAGCUCCUGUUCCCUCUGGGCAGAAAAUCCAAAAAUUUGGGAUUAUUUGGGGUGAGAAUUGAGGCUGCCACCAAGGAGAGAGAGAGCUCCUGUUCCCUCUGGGCAGAAAACCCAAAAAUUUGGGAUUAUUUGGGGUGAGAAUUGAGGCUGCCACCAAGGAAAGAGCUCCUGUUCCCCCUGGGCAGGCUGGCACCUGCCAGUGGGAAAGGGAUGGGAACCCACCCAAACCCAGCCCCUCGUGGAUUUUCAUCCGUGUCUCCUUCCCCUCGAGUUC
ensembl:lncRNA